rnacentral:rRNA from 1 species
AUUGAACGCUGGCGGCAGGCCUAACACAUGCAAGUCGAGCGGAGCGGCGGACGCGUGAGUAAUGCCUAGGAAUCUUCCUGGUAGUGGUGGACAACGUCCGGAAACGGGCGCUAAUACCGCAUACUAUCAGAUGAUCUUUGGUCGGAUUCGCUAGUUGGUGGGGUAAAGGCCUACCCAGGCGACGAUCCGUAACUGGUCGGAGAGGACGAUCCGUCACACUGGAACGGGAACACGAUCCAGACUCCUACGGGAGGAAGCAGUGGGGAAUAUUGGACAAUGGGCGAAAGCCUGAUCCAGCCAUGCCGCGUGUGUGAAGAAGGUCUUCGGAUUGUAAAGCACUUUAAGUUGGGAGGCGUUACCAACAGAAUAAGCACCGGCUAACUUCGUGCCAGCAGCCGCGGUAAUAC